CUAUGUCUGACAUUACUAGACAUGGCGGAAGGAG
rnacentral:ncRNA from 1 species